AGCUUUGCGCAGUGGCAGUAUCGUGGCCAAUGAGGUUUAUCCGAGGCGUGAUUAUUGCUAAUUGAAAACUUUUUUUCCCCAUAUAGAAAUUUCUGCUCUAUGAGUUCCAUUCCUCAGUGGUGAAAUACUGUAAUGUGUCUAUUUGU